rnacentral:lncRNA from 1 species
UCUUGCCCCUUUUAAAACCAUAAAUUCUGUUUAGGAUUACAUGCCAAGUUGAUUUAAAGUAGUUGCUCAAUCAAAAGAAAGUGUUGACUCUGAAUUUUGGUGAUUUGUAAUGUUCUGAAGCAAGAUAUAACCCGUUUUCAUGGACAAAAUGAGAUUUUCCACCCUUCUAAUUUAGACUAUCAUUUUUUAUUUUUUAUUUUUAUUUUUUAUUUUUAUUUUAAUUAUUGGUAUUAUGGGAAAAUCAUUCUUUGUUUUGUUCAUUGGCCUGUUUUUAUUUUAUUUUAUCCCUCCCAUUUUUUAAAGGAAUCUUUGAUUGCUUCAAAUGUAACUUACGUGAUGUCCUUUGGAGCUUCUGUCCAGUCUGUGCACCACUCUAGGUCAUAACCAUAUAUAAUUCAUUAAUAAUGUUUAACCAAACCCUAGCAAGGCAUAGAGGCUGAGCCCCACAUUCUUUAGGCACUGAGGAUUCCCACUGAAGCUCUGAAUGUAGGAUUCAGCCCUCUAUAGCAAACAUAUGUCAAUACACAGAUGGUCAUAACAGCAGCAUUUUCCCACAGACAUUCACUUGAUAUUUGGAAGCUAACCCUCUUCCAUUUGUACUCAGCCUUUUUUUUUUUUUUUUUGUUCACCCAAGUAUUCCAGGCAAUUUAACCCACAGGCAGAAAAUUUUCCCCGAGGAUGAUGCACAGAUACGAUAGCAAAAGGAACCCAAAAAAUAAGCUGGGAAAGAGAUUAGUGAGCCAGAUGGACAGAUGGACUGAUAGCUUGAUAUGCAGAAAUAGUUUGUGUGGAGCAAAUUCAGGAGGAUGUUCAGAGAACACAGACUAUAGCUUAUAAACGGGAAGAGUUCAAAGUGGAAACCUGUUAUUCCAAGAUAGGCAUGUGUAGGCUGGAAAAUAAAAGGUCAAUAGACAGACACCAAAGGAAUGUACUGAUAUUUCUGGUCACAGUCCCAAGUUAUGCUCUUAGAGAAGUGUUAACUGUGGUGUUCUGGCUUAAUUCCAACUUAUAUUCAGCCUACCUAAAAAGGUACUUUCAGGUAGAAAGGUUAUCCUUCAUUUCCUCUCUGGAGACCCACGACACAUGCUAA